AGGGUCUAGAGUUAGUGUCUGCAUUACAAUGAAGAUCCUGGGAAUAGUAACGCUCUGUGGUGCAUUCAUUAUCUUUGAAAGCUGGUUUAAAUUAUCCAAUAAAUUACCAAAGCACACAAAUGAAGCAGAUGUCGACAGGGUGAUAGAGCUUCAGCCACAUGGAAGAAAUCUUCAAGAUCAAGUUGACACAAUCUGGUGAAGGUUUAAAGAAGCUCCUGUUACAAAAAUAAAGCUUUUCAAUGCAGAUGUGAGGUGGGAAUCAAAAUUAAGUACUGGAAUGUCACGAUAAUCUUGGAGUCAUUCUUAAACUGGUCCAGAUAAUAAUGCCAAAUUCCACAUGAUAAAUGACAAUAGCAAAUAAAGUUAUGAUCAUAAUCCCUCAUCACAGCGUAAAAAACCCUGGAGUCUUGGUUCAAUUAUUUGUUUAAUUUAUAUUUGAAGAGGUAAAACUUAAGAAUCCUUGAUGUUGUUUAGGAUGAGUUUGCAUGUUUUCUAAUAGUGGCUUCAGAGCAGACAGUAAUGUGACGUGAGAAUAUUAUCGUUUUUGAUCAACAUACUUAAUGAUCUGCAAUAAUGAUACCUAUAGCAAAAUGUCACUUGAAUUUUGUAAUUCAGUUUGAGAAUAAAAUCAUAUAAAGGUUCAUGUUUUGGGUGUUAGGUGAAAAG